AUACUCCCAAACUGAAGCAUACAUUUCUUAAUAUCUAUUCCCUGUUAACUGUUGAGCAUGCUUUGACUGUGCUUCCCAAAGUGCUUCCAAGUGUUCAAGAUCUGACAUUGCAUGCUCAUUUUACACUUAAGAUGCCUUUGUUGAUGGAAAAUCCAUGCAAAUUUUCCCAGUUGAAAUAUUUACAUUUGAAGCUGUCAAUUGGUCAUAGGGAAGCUGGCAACAUUCUAUCUUUGGCCUCUUUUCUGAGGGCUGCUCCUUCUGUUGAAAAGUUAGAAAUGCAUGAUUUUCUGGAACAACAGGACAACUUGAAUUUCUGGUGCAUGUUGUUGAAAAUGCCCCUGCUCUGAAGAUAUUGACGAUUAAAGGAGCUGACUCGAGUGGCUGUGAUCUCGAUAAUGAAGGGAAAAGAAGAUUUACUUUGAAGUUUCGCGAAUUGGAGAGAAAAUACCUUCAUGGGAUAAUUUCACCAAAUGUGGAGCUUCGUAUUAUUUAAGUGUGCCAGACAUGUAGCUGCUCUUGUACAAGCAAUGGGCUGCUGUUCCAUUUGCCCACUUUAUUUUGACUUGAAGUUAAGAUCCUCCUCUGUCGGUAAGCCGCUCCGAGGCUUCGACCUGCAAGAAGCAGAGAUGUUUCCCAUGAUGGCGAC